rnacentral:rRNA from 1 species
GACGAACGCUGGCGGCGUGCUUAACACAUGCAAGUCGAACGGCAAGGCCCUGCUUUUGUGGGGUGCUCGAGUGGCGAACGGGUGCGUAACACGUGAGUAACCUGCCCUUGACUUUGGGAUAACUUCAGGAAACUGGGGCUAAUACCGGAUAGGAGCUCCUGCUGCAUGGUGGGGGUUGGAACGUUUCGGCUGUUGGGGAUGGACUCGCGGCUUAUCAGCUUGUUGGUGGGGUAGUGGCUUACCAAGGCUUUGACGGGUAGCCGGCCUGAGAGGGUGACCGGCCACAUUGGGACUGAGAUACGGCCCAGACUCGUACGGGAGGCAGCAGGGGGGAGUAUGGCACAAUGGGCGGAAGCCUGAUGCAGCAACGCCGCGUGCGGGAUGACGGCCUGCGGGUUGUAAACCGCUUUCGCCUGUGACGAAGCGUGAGUGACGGUAAUGGGUAAAGAAGCACCGGCUAACUACGUG